GACGAGCGCCGGCGGCGUGCUUAACACAUGCAAGUCGAACGGAAAGGCCCUGCUUUUGUGGGGUGCUCGAGUGGCGAACGGGUGAGUAACACGUGAGUAACCUGCCCUUGACUUUGGGAUAACUUCAGGAAACUGGGGCUAAUACCGGAUAGGAGCUCCUGCUGCAUGGUGGGGGUUGGAAAGUUUCGGCGGUUGGGGAUGGACUCGCGGCUUAUCAGCUUGUUGGUGGGGUAGUGGCUUACCAAGGCUUUGACGGGUAGCCGGCCUGAGAGGGUGACCGGCCACAUUGGGACUGAGAUACGGCCCAGACUCCUACGGGAGGCAGCAGUGGGGAAUAUUGCAGAAUGGGCGGAAGCCUGAUGCAGCAACGCCGCGUGCGGGAUGACGGCCUUCGGGUUGUAAACCGCUUUCGCCUGUGACGAAGCGUGAGUGACGGUAAUGGGUAAAGAAGCACCGGCUAACUACGUG
rnacentral:rRNA from 1 species